GUUAUAAUAGUUAAAUGAAUAACAAAACCCUGAAGAAGUUUUAUUGGAGCGUUAAAUUCCUCCUUAUAACAC
rnacentral:tRNA from 1 species